GGCUGGUCCAAGUGCAGUGGUGUUUACAACUAAUUGAUCACAACCAGUUACAUAUUCCUUUGUUCCUUUUCCACUCCCACUGCUUCACUUGACUAGCCUUUA
ensembl:misc_RNA Y_RNA Y RNA